UCAGCUCGUGUCGUGAGAUGUUGGGUUAAGUCCCGCAACGAGCGCAACCCCUAUUGUUAGUUUGCCAUCAUUCAGUUGGGCACUCUAGCGAGACUGCCGGUAAUAAACCGGAGGAAGGUGGGGAUGACGUCAAAUCAUCAUGCCCCUUAUGACCUGGGCUACACACGUGCUACAAUGGUUGGUACAACGAGUUGCGAGUCGGUGACGGCGAGCUAAUCUCUUAAAGCCAAUCUCAGUUCGGAUUGUAGGCUGCAACUCGCCUACAUGAAGUCGGAAUCGCUAGUAAUCGCGGAUCCGCACGCCGCGGUGAAUACGUUCCCGGGCCUU
rnacentral:rRNA from 1 species